AAUCGUUCGUGGGCACACUCAGCAAUCGGUCGAUCGGGAAGAUGAAGAGCCUCGUGAUCCUGCUAUCUUUCCUCGCCUUCGUCGCAGCUGCGCCCCGUCAGCGUCGCGAUGCUAUUUGGGGUGGAUAUCACGGAGGUGGUUACGGUGGUCAUCUUGGAUACGCUCACGGUGUGGCGAUUGCUGGUCCAGCCUUGGGACCAGCCAGUAUCGCUGGUCCUCACAUCGGAUCUACCAUGGUGGCAGCGCCGUCCAUAGGACCGGCUAAGCUGUCCGGAUCAGUUGCUGGACCGGUGCACGUUUCCGGUGCUGUUGCCGGCUCUGCCGUUGUCACUGCUUCCGUUGCUGGGCCUGCUCACGUUGAAGGCUACGAUGCUGGUCCCUACGAUGGAGGAGUCGGUGUCGGAUACGCGGGUCCGGCGUUCAGUUACGCAGGAUACCCGGGAGUUGGUAGCCACGGAGCGGUGAUAGCGGGUCCAGCAUCUCACGGCGCGAUUCUCGCAGGACCAGCAUCCCAUGGCGCCGUGCUUUCUGGCCCUCAUUCGGGAACCGCGGCGGUAUCCGGUCCCCACGCUGGAUCGGUGGUGAUCGCCGGCCCCUCCGGCAAAAUCACUGCCCACGGGACCGGUUAUGGAGCGAUUCACUCUGGCCACACUGGUCAUUGGUAACGAGUCCAAGUCCUGUUGGAAAGAAGAAAAGGGAAGAAAGGAGAGAGAAUGAGCUUUGGAAACCUCGUCGAUCGAAUUGUCAAGUUAAACUUGGCUGACUUACCUGAAAGUCGGACGAGGUGGAUGGCUCCCUAAUUCGACGCUAUUGCGUCGGAACGAAGGAUCGUGGCUCGUCCAUUUCGAUCGGUCCAGGUGACGCGGC